GCGAGAGAAGACCACGUGCACCAAACUUUAGGGGAGGAAAAAUGGGAACGUGGGGCGGCAGAUCUGAAAAAGAUGGUCAUUCCGGACUCCUGACGCCGCCAGUCCCGCGGUGAGACGUGAGCGCCAUUGGCGUCCGUGGCCUCUGUUUCCGUGGCAACCUAGUAACCAUUAAUUUUCAAUUAAAGGAGACAAAAAGCUCGAUGACAGCUCCAGGUCUGCUGAAGAUGUCAAGAAUCUGUAUUAAUAUACAGCAAGAGAGCAUAAUUGUGUGUCCAUCUUCCAGAGCAGCGAAAAAUGGAGGGAUAAUUACCAGCUCGAAAGCCACUCUGUAAUUUAGUUCUUACUGUCACCACAGCCCUACACAUUAGCAUAAAUUAAAAGCAGAGUUUAUUGUUAUCAAAGUGCA
rnacentral:antisense_RNA from 1 species